rnacentral:rRNA from 1 species
CAGUAGCCGCGGUAAUACGUAGGGUGCGAGCGUUAAUCGGAAUUACUGGGCGUAAAGCGUGCGCAGGCGGUUUUGUAAGACAGAGGUGAAAUCCCCGGGCUCAACCUGGGAACUGCCUUUGUGACUGCAAGGCUAGAGUACGGCAGAGGGGGAUGGAAUUCCGCGUGUAGCAGUGAAAUGCGUAGAUAUGCGGAGGAACACCGAUGGCGAAGGCAAUCCCCUGGGCCUGUACUGACGCUCAUGCACGAAAGCGUGGGGAGCAAACAGGAUUAGACACCCGCGUAGUCCCUGUCUCUUAUAA